UCGAGCGGUCGUAGCAAUACGGCAGCGGCAGACGGGAGAGUAACACGUGGGAACGUGCCCUUUGGUUCGGAACAACCCAGGGAAACUUGGGCUAAUACCGGAUACGCCCUAACGGGGAAAGAUUUAUCGCCGAAGGAUCGGCCCGCGUCUGAUUAGCUAGUUGGUGGGGUAACGGCCCACCAAGGCGACGAUCAGUAGCUGGUCUGAGAGGAUGAUCAGCCUCACUGGGACUGAGACACGGCCCAGACUCCUACGGGAGGCAGCAGUGGGGAAUAUUGGACAAUGGGCGCAAGCCUGAUCCAGCCAUGCCGCGUGGGUGAUGAAGGCCCUAGGGUUGUAAAGCCCUUUCGGCGGGGAAGAUAAUGACGGUACCCGCAGAAGAAGCCCCGGCUAACUUCGUGCCAGCAGCCGCGGU
rnacentral:rRNA from 1 species